GGGAAGCGAGCACCCCAGGGAUAAGUGGUCUGUGACAAACGGAGAGAGGCCCGGAGCCCCGUGGAGACGUGCUCCUGAGCCCGUUCUUUCGGGGGCGACGUUCUCCGCGGCAGGAAGUCGCCGAGACAAAAUGAGUGGAAAAAGAGAGGGUUUGGGGGGGCCCAGGGCGCAGGUUUUCUGGGCUCACACACAUCAGGUGAUCGAAGCUAAAAAUGGCUUAAAAUGCUGCAAUCACUUGGACCGCCUUACAUAAACUGACCGGGAAUCUGGGCCAUCCGUGCCCAAGACAAUUUUCUUCUGCCGGCGAUAAGGAUGGGGAAUUAGUCAUCGGGUAUUUCCAGAUAAUGUAGUUAACACCUCGUGUACUGGGAGGUGGGCAGGAGCGGGCUCUGGGGACGGAGUCGGCGGCUGCCAGAUUGAGUAAGGAGCGCGUGUAUUUUUAACGUCUGGGGCACCACGUUCUCCGUCGGAGCACAGGAGAGAAUGGGCUGAGCUGGGCUUGGCUGGAAAGCACGCUGAAGCUCCUCCAGCACCAAACAGAAGCUAAACUUCCCUUUCGCUUCUCGCCACCUGGCCGGAAGGGCCUUUGAAGACACUGGGCAUAAGUUCAACUCCCAGCUCUGCCUUUACUCAUUGUGAAGGAUUUAAGGUCCCAAUCUUCAUUUGCAUGGUGGGGGAGUGACAACCAGAAUAUUCUAUGGAAGCUUG